GGAAAUGUGCCUGAGAACAAGGAUUACCUUGAUAAGGUAAAAACAGAGACACAACCUCUCUUUUCCCGCCCUA
rnacentral:tRNA from 1 species